UACGUAGGUGGCAAGCGUUGUCCGGAUUUACUGGGCGUAAGGGAUGCGUAGGCGGACAUUUAAGUCAGAUGUGAAAUACCCGAGCUUAACUUGGGUGCUGCAUUUGAAACUGGGUGUCUAGAGUGCAGGAGAGGUAAGUGGAAUUCCUAGUGUAGCGGUGAAAUGCGUAGAGAUUAGGAAGAACACCAGUGGCGAAGGCGACUUACUGGACUGUAACUGACGCUGAGGCAUGAAAGCGUGGGGAGCAAACAGG
rnacentral:rRNA from 1 species